rnacentral:rRNA from 1 species
GACGUAGGGCGCGAGCGUUGUCCGGAUUUAUUGGGCGUAAAGAGCUCGUAGGCGGCUUGUCGCGUCGACUGUGAAAACCCGCAGCUCAACUGCGGGCCUGCAGUCGAUACGGGCAGACUAGAGUUCGGCAGGGGAGACUGGAAUUCCUGGUGUAGCGGUGAAAUGCGCAGAUAUCAGGAGGAACACCGGUGGCGAAGGCGGGUCUCUGGGCCGAUACUGACGCUGAGGAGCGAAAGCGUGGGGAGCGAACAGG